GACGAACGCUGGCGGCGUGCCUAAUACAUGCAAGUCGAACGCUUCUUUCCUCCCGAGUGCUUGCACUCAAUUGGAAAGAGGAGUGGCGGACGGGUGAGUAACACGUGGGUAACCUACCCAUCAGAGGGGGAUAACACUUGGAAACAGGUGCUAAUACCGCAUAACAGUUUAUGCCGCAUGGCAUAAGAGUGAAAGGCGCUUUCGGGUGUCGCUGAUGGAUGGACCCGCGGUGCAUUAGCUAGUUGGUGAGGUAACGGCUCACCAAGGCCACGAUGCAUAGCCGACCUGAGAGGGUGAUCGGCCACACUGGGACUGAGACAGGGCCCAGACUCCUACGGGAGGCAGCAGUAGGGAAUCUUCGGCAAUGGACGAAAGUCUGACCGAGCAACGCCGCGUGAGUGAAGAAGGUUUUCGGAUCGUAAAACUCUGUUGUUAGAGAAGAACAAGGACGUUAGUAACUGAACGUCCCCUGACGGUAUCUAACCAGAAAGCCACGGCUAACUACGUG
rnacentral:rRNA from 1 species